AGUGAACGCUGGCGGUAGGCCUAACACAUGCAAGUCGAACGGCAGCACAGUAAGAGCUUGCUCUUACGGGUGGCGAGUGGCGGAUGGGUGAGGAAUACAUCGGAAUCUACUUUUUCGUGGGGGAUAACGUAGGGAAACUUACGCUAAUACCGCAUACGACCUACGGGUGAAAGCAGGGGAUCUUCGGACCUUGCGCGAUUGAAUGAGCCGAUGUCGGAUUAGCUAGUUGGCGGGGUAAAGGCCCACCAAGGCGACGAUCCGUAGCUGGUCUGAGAGGAUGAUCAGCCACACUGGAACUGAGACACGGUCCAGACUCCUACGGGAGGCAGCAGUGGGGAAUAUUGGACAAUGGGCGCAAGCCUGAUCCAGCCAUACCGCGUGGGUGAAGAAGGCCUUCGGGUUGUAAAGCACUUUUGUUGGGAAAGAAAAGCAGCAGGUUAAUACCCCGCUGUUCUGACGGUACCCACAGAAUAAGCACCGGCUAACUUCGUG
rnacentral:rRNA from 1 species